GGCUGCGCCGGCUGGUGGAGAGAGCACACGCACCUGGGCUGCGUUAGCUAAUCAGCCCAGGUGCUUAAAGGUGUGCUGCGGGGCCUAACACCGAGAGCGAGUUUCUUUAUUUGAGUUUAUUUCCAGUUUUGUUUCUUUUAAAACGGGGAACCGUGACGGACAACUUCAUGCGACAGACAACUGUGUUCCCCCGCACCUGCCGCAUAUCCCUCCCAGGGGUGUCACGCGGGUGUGACAAUUGCAUUACAGCUGGUGGAGAUCCUUUCGAUGUUGUCGGUCCGUGACGUCAUCGCCUUUGGGUCCACCUGCCACGACUUCCACCAGCUGACGCUGAUCCACUGGACGUGGCGGCGGCUUUUUCGUCGGCAGUCGCGGGACUGGAGGCUGAGGAACAUUAGGAUCAUCCUCAGCGUACUCAAGAUAUUUACCAUAUCCAAGAAGAACGCAGAGAGAGAAUGACGGAUUUUAUCGCUCUUAUCUCGGGCGGCUUAUGUACUUAGCACGUACUGUUUGCGUAUACAGCAGCAGGGCCCUGUUUCACGAAGCACCAUUACGGAGUUAGCUGGACUACACGGAGUAAAAACUCAGAGCCCUCCCAAAAUCUGGAACGUGGACUGAAGUAAGUAAGAAAGGCCAGCUGUUCUGGGUUUUGCUCAGCUCAGUUAUCCAGCUAACACGGUAAUUCUGCUUCGUGAAAUACCCCCCAGGACACAGACUGAAGCCAGUCGUGUUGCAAUGAAGGGUACAGCGGCUGUGCCUCAUCAGAGACUGAAACCUGCAGCUCUCCGGUCGCAAGUCAAGCGGCAUAAUCACUGUGUCACACUGUGGAGUAGCUGUCACCUAAAAUGUGUGAACAUGAAGGUCUCACUGCACUUUAAAUGUGAAGGGGGUCUUUAAGGCCCCUGUGGCAUAUCCAGGGAUGAAAUAACCAUACCGGUACGUUGAGUAGGUGCAGAAUUAUUUCCUUGCACUGAUGAUAGUAUCAUAUAUACAUAAACAUUUGCACUUUCACUCGUGUAAAUGAGAAAUUCAGGUAUACUAAAUAUGGAAUAAACGAAAUAUGGAAUUUUCCCCCUCCAUUUCAUUUUGGGGUUAAAAAUAAGUUCCUCUUACUGCAUGUCCCUGGCUGAGGCUGGUGUAUAAAACGUCCAUAGCACUUUUGUACCACCGUCAGUGUGAUGUCUGCUGUCAAUAUACUUUCUAUGUGUUUUCUGAAACUGUGCAUAUGUAAUAAAAAAUGUAGCUUUUUUAAUAUUUUCCUUGAUGCUGACUAGAUAAAUAUGGUACAUUUUUAAUGGUAAAUCUAACAGCAAGGCAAAAUUAUUCCACACCGCUUUUUAUUAAUUUUAAUAUUUUUACUUUAGUGAUCUAGAAUAUUCUGAUUUAUGGAUAUUUUGAAUGCAGACAGAACAAGAAAAAAUCAUGUGUGUUUUCUUGUGUCGUAACAGUAUUAUGUAAAAUCAUCUUUACGUGUUCAGAAGAUGUGAGACUGCAGAUAUUCAUGAGUCAUUGAGUCAAGAGGAACAAGCACAAUUCGACAGAGACAAAUCCCACAAUACUGGUCGGGUACAGGACUCUCAGUCGAUUCCAGUCCUGUAGGGCCUUUAUAUGCGUCUGUUAUAUAUGCCCCCAACUACCUCCAACCACCCCCCCAAAGAGAAAAUGAAAAUUUCACUUCUCUGCCAGCUACGCAGCAAACCACCACAACUGUCUUCAUAUGAAUAAUUUAUUGACAAAAAAAUCCAAGUCACAUUUGCGCCAAAAAAAAAAGAUCACAUACAUUAGCAACACUUAGCAACAGUUAUAAGCAACCACAGACAUCAGCAGUACUCUGUCCGGUAGUUUGCUCGUACGGUUUUAACACUGUUGCCACGGAACAGCGAUAUAACUGAUCACACUGAGACAGCACCCCUGGGAAUCCUCUGGCAUCAAAUACAAUUUGAGACAAUUUUU